AAACCGGAGCUAAUACCGGAUAAUAUUUUGAACCGCAUGAUUCAAAAGUGAAAGACGGUCUUGCUGUCACUUAUAGAUGGAUCCGCGCCGCAUUAGCUAGUUGGUAAGGUAACGGCUUACCAAGGCAACGAUGCGUAGCCGACCUGAGAGGGUGAUCGGCCACACUGGAACUGAGACACGGUCCAG
rnacentral:rRNA from 1 species